AUUGAACGCUGGCGGCAGGCUUAACACAUGCAAGUCGAGCGAGCGGCGGACGGGUGAGUAAUGUCUGGGAAACUGCCUGAUGGAGGGGGAUAACUACUGGAAACGGUAGCUAAUACCGCAUACCAUCAGAUGUGCCCAGCUGGGAUUAGCUAGUAGGUGGGGUAAUGGCUCACCUAGGCGACGAUCACUAGCUGGUCUGAGAGGAUGACCAGACACGCUGGAACUUAUACACUUUCCAGACUCCUAAGGGAGGCAGCAGUGGGGAAUAUUGCUCAAUGGGCGAAAGCCUGAUGCAGCCAUGCCGCGUGUUUAAAGAAGGCCUUCGUGUUGUAAAGCACUUUCAGCGAGGAGGCGUUACUCGCAGAAGAAGCACCGGCUAACUCCGUGCCAGCAGCCGCGGUAAUUC
rnacentral:rRNA from 1 species